GAGUGAAAUGCGUAGAGAUCGGGAGGAACACCCGUGGCGAAGGCGGCCGGCUGGGCCUGUCCUGACGCUGAGGCGCGAAAGCGUGGGGAGCGAACCGGAUUAGAUACCCGGGUAGCCCACGCUGUAAACGAUGACCACUAGGUGUGGGGGGUAUCGACCCCCUCCGUGCCGUCGCUAACGCAUUAAGUGGUCCGCCUGGG
rnacentral:rRNA from 1 species